UCUGCCUGGACGUGGGACUUGGGAACAGAAAAUCCAGAAUCAGGAGCAUCUGGUUGGAAGAUGAACUAACUUCUGUUGAUCAGAUUGAGAUGUGAAUAAUAAAUCUCGGUAUCAGAUACAUUUCGCAGUUUUCUGCUGCCUGAAAAUACAAACCUUUUAUCAUGCUGUUUACAACAGGAGGAAAUUAAGAACUGCACAGUGUCCUAUAUUAAGGACUUAUAGCAAUCUCCAUUCCGCCACUUCUGGAAAUACAAUGAAAACACAUUAGAAAAGCCUUCAGUCUUUUCAACUAUAUUGCAAGAAGUAAUGUAUUUUUUCCCACGUCCAAGGCAUCACUGACAAGGAAUUGCUAAAAAAAAAAAAAAAAAGGCAUUUCUUCUCACACUUCUAUUAUGGGAGGGAUUAUUUUCACUGUGAGUCCUUUUUAUUGCUUUUUGGAAUGGCUACAAUCCAGCUCUUCACAAACAACAAUAAACUUCAUGCAGUACAAAAUAUACUCAUUAUCUGCACAGGCCUUCUUUCUCUAAUGAGUUUACAAAUCUUCUUGAUUCAGAGAUAAACUGAAUGCAAAAGGUUGAUUUAAGCACUUCUGUAGCUGCCAGAUAAGUAUGCCUUUGCAAAUCAUAUUUUGGUGUUGAAGAUGAGUUUUAUUCCUUUUAAUUUGUUCAAGAACAAUUCCUACAGGUUAUUUCCUGGGUGUACAAUUUCUCAUCUGCCUUAGACAUCCUCUGAAUAGAUUGUAUUAUGAUAUUGAUUCACAUUUUCACAUUUUUAAACACAGAAAACAUAAUGACAUGAUGUAGAGUAGUAUAAUGAUUAAAAAUUAGCUAUCUUCUUGAAGAUUUCUACUCCUGAAUUAGAUGCUUAUGUUCCUUUCACAUUGAAGUACAAAGGAGAUUCAUGGGAGAUGGUGUGAAACUUUCAUAAGGUUGAACAAAAGUUUCUCCAAACAGUAGAUGUCAAUGAGAAAUGUGUUUGUGACAAACUAAAUCUCUUGAAUUCAGACUAUUUGGUAACAGUCCUACUGGCUUUGAGAUUAGAAGAGGAUAAAAUUAACAUAACAGCUAAGAUCAGCAUGCUGGAUUCAUCAUCUUCCAUAGCCCUAAAGAGUUCAGUCUCACAGCUCCUUGUUUCAGAGAGGUCACUAGAAACCUUCACACAUGAAGUUGAAAAGUACAGAUCAAACACAGCUGGAAGGAGUGGCUGAUACACCAGUGUGCUGUGCUGCCAUUCAUCAAGAUCUGGACAAGCUAGCGAACUGGACGGAGAGGAUCCUUAAGUGUUUCAACAAGGGCAAGUGAAGAUUCUUACACCUGUGAAGGAGUAACUGCAUACAUAAGCACAGGUUGGGGGCUGACCUGCUGCAAAAGGACUUGUGUGUCCUGGGGGACUUUGCCCUGGUGAGGCCACAUCUGGAGUGCUGUGCCGAGUUCUGAGCUCUUCAGUUCAAGAAAGACAAGGAUUAUCUAGAGAUAGUACAGCAGUGGACUACAAAGAUGAUUAGGGUGCUAGAAUAAGACCCUUAUGAGGAAGACUAAGAAACCUGGGACAGUUUAACCUUGAGAAGACUGAGAGGGGAUCUUAUCAAGAUGUAUACUAUCUAAUGGGCAAGUGUCAAGAGGAUGGUGCCAAGCUCCUUGUGGUGUCCAAUGACAGAACAAGGGGUAACAGACACAAACUGGACCACAAGGUGCUCAAUCUGAACAUGAGAAAUAACUUCUUUACUUUGAGAGUGACAGAGCACUGGAAUGAAUUGUCCAGAGAGGACAUGGAGUUUUCUUCUCGGGAUAUAUAUUCUGGUCACUUUGCUGUGCAACCUGAUCUGGGGAACCUGCUUUUGCAGGAGGAUUGGAAUAAGCAAUCUCCAGAGGUUUAUUAGAAACCUUAAAUUUUAUUUUUCUAUGAUUCUGUGAUUAUAGCAAGAGUCUCUAACAAAGCUGCAAAGUACUGCUAUGUUUCUUGUAGUGAUACUACUUCAAAUGAGUGUUAUCUGACAGGUGCCUGCUACCUUAAAAUUUAAGUCUCUGUCUACAGAUACUGUUGUAAUCAAUUGGUUUGAUUCUUUUUUUUUUUCAUUAACUAAUAUAAUAAAAUUUUACAUGUUUAUAUCGAGAUAUAAAAUUAUAGUUGUGGACCAUAAAAUAAAGCAUGAU
ensembl:lncRNA